GUGAGGAAUAUUGGACAAUGGGCGCAAGCCUGAUCCAGCCAUGCCGCGUGCAGGAAGACGCAUCUAUGGUGUGUAAACUGCUUUUGUACGGGAAGAAACACUCCCUCGUGAGGGAGCUUGACGGUACCGUAAGAAUAAGGAUCGGCUAACUCCGUGCCAGCAGUCGCGGUAAUACGGAGGAUCCAAGCGUUAUCCGGAAUCAUUGGGUUUAAAGGGUCCGUAGGCGGUUUAAUAAGUCAGUGGUGAAAGCCCAUCGCUCAACGAUGGAACGGCCAUUGAUACUGUUAGACUUGAAUUACAAGGAAGUAACUAGAAUAUGUAGUGUAGCGGUGAAAUGCUUAGAUAUUACAUGGAAUACCAAUUGCGAAGGCAGGUUACUACUUGUGGAUUGACGCUGAUGGACGAAAGCGUGGGGAGCGAACAGGAUUAGAAACCCCUGUAGUCC
rnacentral:rRNA from 1 species